AAAUCCAGUAGUGGGAGUAGU
rnacentral:misc_RNA from 1 species